AUGCAAAUCUACACAAAAUUUGGUAACAUGUAUAUGGAGAGAUUAUGUUCACUGAGAACUCACUGGACUUCUUAUUCCUGGAGGACUGCUGGGGGUAUAACCACAUCACAAACCAUUCCACGCAGAUGUAAGGGCAAAUGGAUUACCCAGCAAGUUUCUCUUCACAGAAGCUUCAUAUGGGCCGAGCCGGCUGGGCUGGCCACGGCGACAGCGGUUCUUCUCGGCUCCGGCUCUGCAAGCGGGGAGGAGGCCCGUGUCCUCGAGUCGCUGCCGGUGCAGGCCCCGCCGUUGGCUUCUAGGCGUGGCCGCAGCCCGGCGUGCCACCCCUCGCCUCGUUCUGCUCGCGGGCGCUCUCAGGAAAGCCUCACGUCACCAGUUUCGCCUCCUCUGUCUCCCACAACUGUGCUACCUCCAUCGCCACGUUCCAACAGAGGCGAGGCCCGGCCUUCUCCGACCUCGCUGGCUGCCCCAAGCCAGGAGCUGCUCCACCUCUGCUCACCACUCAGGCUCCAGGCGCCUCUGACCUCGCCGGCCAAGCCGCCGGGUUUUGAAGCCUCACCAACGCCACCUUUGGUCUCCAGCGGGCCUCUACUACGCACGCCAUCGCCGCGACGGCUGUGUGGGCCUGCUACUGCAGGUGCCGUGGGCUUACAAUGCCUCGCACCGCUCUUCGAGGAUCGCCAGGAUGCAAUCUUGCCAUCACCUACUUCAACUCCACCUAAGGCACCGGCUGCUCGUCGGAAAACCCUGGCUGGGGUCACCAUUUCCAAGUCUGGUGGCUUAUUCUCGAUCCACGAGACACGCGCUUCAGGGUGUGCCAAGGCAGCGCCGGCUGCCAAGGCGGCAGAGCUGCUCCUGUGCCGCAGCUUGGGUAUUGUGAAAGAUGGUGAAGAUGUCACUGCAGCUGCACUCGACGCCUUCGCGGACCGCUUCAAGGAGCAGUUGCCACCUGAUGUGAUUGCUGCUAUGCGCGGAUUGUUCAAGCUUGAUGAUGGAGAUGCAACAGAUGUCGAGGAGGCACUCAUUGCGCAUGGAGGAGGAGGCGCCCUCGACCUGGAGAGGACUGAUGAGGGCGCCGCUGUCCAGCAGGCGUCCUUUUGA
rnacentral:rRNA from 1 species